AUAAAAAGCUUAGGUUAAUUCUGGAUUUCAUUUCAGGUGUGAAAGGGAGACACCGGCGCUCGCUGAUUGGAAUCAGUUUGGUUAAGGAGGUGUUCUGUCCCCUAAACUCACCAGAUCAUCUCUCCAACUUGGCUCAGAUGCCAGCUUUGAUUUCUUCAGUCAGAAGGCACCUAUCCUUCCUGCUACGUCAGAAGCCGGGAGGGCGAGAGAAUUCACCAGAGCCAGAGCCGGGAGUAGAGCAGGCAGAAGGAUCGAAGUACACUGCUGAGGGGAGCAGCGGGCGG